rnacentral:rRNA from 1 species
UACAGAGGUCCCGAGCGUUGUUCGGAUUCACUGGGCGUAAAGGGUGCGUAGGUGGUGAGGUAAGUCGGAUGUGAAAUCUCCAGGCUCAACCUGGGAACUGCAUCCGAGACUGCAUUGCUAGAGUAUGGGAGAGGGAAGCGGAAUUUCUGGUGUAGCAGUGAAAUGCGUAGAUAUCAGAAGGAACAUCAGUGGCGAAGGCGGCUUCCUGGACCAAUACUGACGAUCAGGUGCGAAAGCGUGGGGAGCAAACAGG